rnacentral:rRNA from 1 species
CUUCGGGUGGUGAUCAGUGGCGAACGGGUGAGUAACACGUGGGUAACCUGCCCUCCACUCUGGGAUAACUCCGGGAAACCGGGGCUAAUACCGGAUACGAGUCUUGACCGCAUGGUCGGGGCUGGAAAGUUUUCGGUGGAGGAUGGACCCGCGGCCUAUCAGCUUGUUGGUGGGGUAAUGGCCUACCAAGGCUUUGACGGGUAGCCGGCCUGAGAGGGCGACCGGCCACACUGGGACUGAGACACGGCCCAG